rnacentral:sRNA from 1 species
GGGGGAUUCGAACCCCCG